AAAAGUGAUGAACUUUAAUGACCCAAGCCAGAGCAAUCAGCACCAGAUCGAGUCGAGUGGCUCUCAGCCAAUUAAAUUACGCUGUUUGAUCACAUGACACCGUUAGCCAGCAGUGUGUCUCCUAAAAGAGAGCUGUUUAAAGGAAAACGUUUGACUAACUCAAAGACAAUUUCCACGCCUCCCCUGCCUGUCUGCAGAGGCAGUUUUGAAUUUAGGAGCAGCAAGAUGGAAGCGGCAAACCCUGGCGAUUCUCCGCAGAAGUUGUGCAUGCAGUUUUGGUGUGCUGCUCUCCAAGACUACAAGCUGCGUUAAAGUUGGAAGUAACUGGCCGAUGUUCCACUGUUAAAAGACCAUCUGUUCAUCAAGAAAUGACCAGAUGGCUGCUGGUACUGAACCGGGUUCUGGUUCUGCUGGAGUUUUUCCUCUGCACUGUCACUUCAUGCUGCUCAGUGUGAGGGAUUGUUGCGGUUGAGUCCAUAUGUCCUGCGAACAACUGCUGGGCAAUGACACCAUGCAAUCUUCUGGGAUUCCUUGGAUAGAAAACCUGUGAACUGCACUUGUCCUUGGUCUUCACAGCUCACCUUUUUACUGUUUAUUGAA